rnacentral:rRNA from 1 species
CCUACGGGGGGCAGCAGUGGGGGAUAUUGCACAAUGGGGGAAACCCUGAUGCAGCGACGCCGCGUGGGUGAAGAAGUAUUUCGGUAUGUAAAGCCCUAUCAGCAGGGAAGAAAGAAGACGGUACCUGACUAAGAAGCCCCGGCUAACUACGUGCCAGCAGCCGCGGUAAUACGUAGGGGGCGAGCGUUAUCCGGAUUCACUGGGUGUAAAGGGAGCGUAGACGGCCGUGCAAGCCAGGAGUGAAAGCCCGGGGCCCAACCCCGGGACUGCUCUUGGAACUGUGCGGCUGGAGUGCGGGAGGGGCAGGCGGAAUUCCUGGUGUAGCGGUGAAAUGCGUAGAUAGCAGGAGGAACACCGGCGGCGAAGGCGGCCUGCUGGACCGCGACUGACGUUGAGGCUCGAAAGCGUGGGGAGCGAACAGGAUUAGAUACCCCGGUAGUC